rnacentral:rRNA from 1 species
UGGGGAAUUUUGGACAAUGGGGGAAACCCUGAUCCAGCCAUCCCGCGUGUGCGAUGAAGGCCUUCGGGUUGUAAAGCACUUUUGGCAGGAAAGAAACGUCAUGGGUUAAUACCCCGUGAAACUGACGGUACCUGCAGAAUAAGCACCGGCUAACUACGUGCCAGCAGCCGCGGUAAUACGUAGGGUGCAAGCGUUAAUCGGAAUUACUGGGCGUAAAGCGUGCGCAGGCGGUUCGGAAAGAAAGAUGUGAAAUCCCAGAGCUCAACUUUGGAACUGCAUUUUUAACUACCGGGCUAGAGUGUGUCAGAGGGAGGUGGAAUUCCGCGUGUAGCAGUGAAAUGCGUAGAUAUGCGGAGGAACACCGAUGGCGAAGGCAGCCUCCUGGGAUCACACUGACGCUCAUGCACGAAAGCGUGGGGAGCAAACAGG